rnacentral:misc_RNA from 1 species
GAGAAGCGAAAAACUCCAUCUCAGCGAGAUAGCAACCAUGAUUUCUCAGUUCUUUGUGCUUUCUCAGAGAGGCGACAGCAUCGUCUUCCGCGACUAUCGGGGUGAUGUACCAAAAGGAAGUGCAGAGAUCUUCUUCCGGAAAGUGAAGUUUUGGAAAGAAGAUGGCGGAGAGGAAGCACCUCCUGUAUUUAAUGUGGAUGGUGUGAACUAC